rnacentral:tRNA from 1 species
UCCGCAGUAGCUCAGCAGGUUAGAGCGGCUGGCUGUUAACCAGCAAGUCGGGGGUUCGAAUCCCUCCUGCGGAG